rnacentral:rRNA from 1 species
GAUGAACGCUGGCGGCGUGCUUAACACAUGCAAGUCGAACGGUGAAGUGAAGAGCUUGCUCUUUGCGGAUCAGUGGCGAACGGGUGAGUAACACGUGAGUAACCUGCCCUUGACUCUGGGAGUAAGCACUGGAAACGGUGUCUAAUACCGGAUACGACCUCUGAAGGCAUCUUCUAGAGGUGGAAAGAAUUUCGGUCAAGGAUGGACUCGCGGCCUAUCAGCUAGUUGGUGAGGUAAUGGCCCACCAAGGCGACGACGGUAGCCGGCUGAGAGGUGACCGGCCACACUGGGACUGAGACACGGCCCAGACU